UACGUAGGGGGCAAGCGUUAUCCGGAAUUACUGGGUGUAAAGGGUGCGUAGGCGGCACGCCAAGUCAGUUGUGAAACCCGUAGGCUCAACCUACGGCUUGCAAUUGAAACUGGCGAGCUAGAGUACAGGAGAGGAAAGCGGAAUUCCUAGUGUAGCGGUGAAAUGCGUAGAUAUUAGGAAGAACACCGGUGGCGAAGGCGGCUUUCUGGACUGAAACUGACGCUGAGGCACGAAAGUGUGGGGAGCAAACAGG
rnacentral:rRNA from 1 species